rnacentral:rRNA from 1 species
UAACGACUCUCGGCAACGGAUAUCUCGGCUCUCGCAUCGAUGAAGAACGUAGCGAACUGCGAUACUUGGUGUGAAUUGCAGAAUCCCGUGAACCAUCGAGUCUUUGAACGCAAGUUGCGCCCGAAGCCAUUUUGGCCGAGGGCACGUUUGCCUGGGUGUCA